rnacentral:rRNA from 1 species
AACGAACGCUGGCGGCAGGCCUAACACAUGCAAGUCGAACGCCCCGCAAGGGGAGUGGCAGACGGGUGAGUAGCGCGUGGGAGCGUGCCCUUCGCUUCGGAAUAGUCCCGGGAAACUGGGUUUAAUACCGGAUACGCCGUAUUGGGAAAGAUUUAUCGGCGAAGGAUCGGCCCGCGUUAGAUUAGGUAGUUGGCGGUGUAAUGGACCACCAAGCCUACGAUCUAUAGCUGGUCUGAGAGGAUGAUCAGCCACACUGGGACUGAGACACGGCCCAGACUCCUACGGGAGGCAGCAGUGGGGAAUCUUGGACAAUGGGCGAAAGCCUGAUCCAGCCAUGCCGCGUGAGUGAAGAAGGCCUUAGGGUUGUAAAACUCUUUCGCCGGAGAAGAUAAUGACGGUAUCCGGAGAAGAAGCCCCGGCUAACUUCGUGCCAGCCGCCGCCGUAA